rnacentral:rRNA from 1 species
GCCUAGCCCUAAACCUUGGUAAUAUAUCACACACCCUACCCGCCUGGGAACUACGAGCACCAGCUUAAAACCCAAAGGACUUGGCGGUGCUUUAGACCCCCCUAGAGGAGCCUGUUCUAGAACCGAUAACCCCCGUUCAACCUCACCCUUCCUUGUUUAUCCCGCCUAUAUACCGCCGUCGUCAGCUUACCCUGUGAAGGCCUAAAAGUAAGCACAACUGGCACAACCCAAAACGUCAGGUCGAGGUGUAGCGCAUGGAGGGGGAAGAAAUGGGCUACAUUCCCUACACUAGGGAACACGAACGGCGCACUGAAACACGCGCCUGAAGGAGGAUUUAGUAGUAAGCGGAAAAUAGCGUGUUCCGCUGAAAUCGGCCCUGAAGCGCGC